rnacentral:rRNA from 1 species
GACGAACGCUGGCGGCGUGCUUAACACAUGCAAGUCGAACGGAAAGGCCCUGCUUUUGUGGGGUGCUCGAGUGGCGAACGGGUGAGUAACACGUGAGUAACCUGCCCUUGACUUUGGGAUAACUUCAGGAAACUGGGGCUACUACCGGAUCGGAGCUCCUGCUGCAUGGUGGGGGUUGGAAAGUUUCGGCGGUUGGGGAUGGACUCGCGGCUUAUCAGCUUGUUGGUGGGGUAGUGGCUUACCAAGGCUUUGACGGGUAGCCGGCCUGAGAGGGUGACCGGCCACAUUGGGACUGAGAUACGGCCCAGACUCCUACGGGAGGCAGCAGUGGGGAAUAUUGCACAAUGGGCGGAAGCCUGAUGCAGCAACGCCGCGUGCGGGAUGACGGCCUUCGGGUUGUAAACCGCUUUCGCCUGUGACGAAGCGUGAGUGACGGUAAUGGGUAAAGAAGCACCGGCUAACUACGUG